AGUUGAGCUUUCCUUGCCUACCACCUCAUUUAUCAGAACAUGAAAGAAGCCCCUUGCUUGUUCAACCUGAGGAUGUCAUAGAAAAAUCGCAUAUGCCUGGGGACUUGUUUAAUUUAUACCUUCAUCAAAACUAUGUAGAAUUUUUCUCUGAUAUAGAGGAUCUUCUGAGAGCUAGUGAAUAUUUGAGUACUGCUGAUUUGCUUUGCAGUAACUGGAAUGCACGACCUAUACUCUGGGAGUAUAGUGCAUCUGUGGUUGCAAGAGGCAUAAUGCAUUCGAACAGAGCUAGAGCCUUUGCCCAUAGCAAAGGAGGAAUGGGCUUUCGACCCCUUCAUAAGCCGCAGUGGUUUCUAAUUAA